rnacentral:rRNA from 1 species
GACGAACGCUGGCGGCGUGCUUAACACAUGCAAGUCGUACGACAGCAUUCCUUUUGGGGGUGUUUGGAGUGGCGAACGGGUGAGUAACACGUGAGUAACCUGCCCUCUUCUUUGGGAUAACGUGCGGAAACGUGCGCUAAUACUGAAUAUUCUUAUUCUGCUGCAUGGUGGGGUGGGGAAAGGACUGUGGGGUCUUUAGGGGCUUUGUGGUUUGGUGGGGGAUGGGCUCGCGGCCUAUCAGCUUUGUUGGUGGGGUGAUGGCCUACCAAGGCGU